GGUUGAUUCUGAGCUCUCCUCUUCCUGGCGUGCCCCUUUCCGCUCCUCACUGCGUUCAGUCUGAUUUUAGAGUAGGGCUGGUGGCAUCGAUAUUGCGGCAAGUGUGUGGCGGAGUUCGCUUACAGUAAUGGUGACACAAGCGGAUGUGUGAAUGCUAUCUGGUACGUUGAGUCACGACACUUGUUGGCGUAACCAUAUAGCUUUGCGCUGGUCUCCGUGCAACCCUAACCGUAAAAGGGGGAAUGGAACAUCACCGUCUCUAAGUUGAUCUCUCGUUGAAGAUACUACAUGUGACGCCGCUGCUGUUUUGCUUACGGGCAUUUUUUGUUUUGAGUACGGACCUGUUGUACAUCAUUGCUUACGGCUUCGCUGUUUGGCGGGGCGUUUGGGCCGGUCUUUGUGCUUUUGCUAGGCCAUCUAUCUGUUUUAUUUUGAUUUUGGUUUUUUUUGUAUAAUUUUAUUUGCGCAUUGCGCUGUGGUUUUUCCUUUUUUUUUUUUUUUUUUUUUGUGCUAUUUGUGGUUGUUCUGCAGCUUUAUAAUUGUUCAUUUAUAUUUUCGUGCCAUGCAUUGUACUACGUCAUCGUAAAGAAUUCACAUUCUUUACUUCAUUUAUUGUUUUGUAAUUCUGGUGUCAUUCAGGCACUGUGAUUUUGCUCUUGCUGCAUUUCGUGCCCUUAGGAGGCUGGCGUACUGGAGUCCCUACAACUAGUGUCUGUAAAUUUAGUCUGAUUAUUUUUCAUUCUUUGUAAUUCUUUUUUUUUUUUUUUUUUUUGUAAUUUUUGGUUAAUGGUUUUUCAUUUCUGUCUCCAGGAGCCAGUGAGGACUCUGUGUGGAGCAGGGGAGGCUAGUCACUUUCCUUCCAUGGUGUGUCUCACAGGGUGCUGUGUGUGUGUGUGUGUGUGUGUGUGUGUUGGUACAAUUUGCUUUACUGUGUGUGUGUGAGGUGUUUGAUGUGGUGUGAAUUUAGGUGGGUUUGGACGACCUCCCGAGUUGCACCUGGCCUGCCCUGUUCCCACUAAGCCUGGCCCUGGAGUUAUUUUAAUAAUCUGGUGGUGUGUUUCUGGGGAGAGAGAAUAUUAUUGAUGUUCUUAUAAUAAAGUGUAUUUUUGUAUUGACACUCACAUCUCAAUAUACAGUAUCUUAUUUCCUUGCCUUCAAUUGGUAAAAUGUACCUGUGUCCUUACUGGGAGUAUUUCCCUGGCGCUCCACCAGGGUGGUGUAGUCGGAUUAAAUUAAUUGUGAUUUUUGGGGUCUGUUAGACCUAUAUGACUCUGCCACACUAGCAAAGACUGAGAUGCUCCUUUUAUACCCAAACAUGAUAUCUUGACCCAUUACCAAUUCAUCUGCUUACUGUGAACUGUUUAACGUGGAUAUUCUAUAACCUUUUUACUUUUAUUUUGCCUCUGUCCCAAUUUUUUUGGAAUGUGUUGCU